AUACCUGCAGAGUUUGCAAACCUUAAGGGUCUCCAGUUCCUAAAAUUAUCAAGAAAUAAUAUAUCUGGCAGUAUCCCAAAUGAUAUUGGCAAUAUGAAUGCCCUAGAGUCCCUGGAUUUAUCUUGCAAUGCAUUUUCAGGUCAUAUUACGACCAACAUCUCUAGCUUAACAUUUCUCAGCUCCUUACAUCUCUCUAAUAACCACCUGUCACUCUGUCAGGAAGGGCACCCACAGGUGGCCAGCUUGAGACACUGAACGAUCCAUCAAUUUACAGCAACGAUUAUGGGCUUUGUGGAACUGUGUUGAGUGCAUGCCCAAUUGAAAGUUCCAGAUUUGGAUCUGAACCAAAUAAGGAUGAAUUUAGGUCUUUACUAAGCCACAAUCAUAGGGAUUGUUAUUGGAUUUUGGCUAUGGUUUGACUCACUAUUCUUCAUUGAUUUAUGGAGGAUUGCAGUUCUAACCUGCAUUGAUUAUGUGCAGAAUAAGAUUAUGCAAAGAAUUCGGUGCAUUGGCAUCGAUUGUGGUAUUAACAAUGUCGGAACGUAAGAGGAUUUCUGGUAGUCUAAUUCCGUACGGUGGUUAUCAUAUCUGUCUACACUGAAAAACAAUUAUGAAACCAUAGCAGAACCAAAGUAACUGUGUGGCAAAAUACAACCACAACAUCCUUAUAUUAGAUAGAAUUAGAUUUAUAGGGCAACUCUAAUGCUUAUAAUACUUUUACAGCCCGAUGUUUCUUUUAACAAUGUCAUGGAUGAUUCACAAUAAUGUUUCAUGUCAAUGAUGUUUCUUCUAGGUAGAGCUCUCCUACCUAGAUCAUCCCCCUCUUGUCUACUCUACUCCACAAGUUUUGUAGCAGUACAUCCUAGUGCAAACAUUAUAAACAUCGACCUAUUUCUCUAACAUAGUUUAAUUCAAUCAAGCCGGUGCGCUAAUACCACAGUAUACUCUGGACCCCAUAGCAACCAUAAACAGAAAAUAUAGUAUAGCUGAAAUGAGGCAAAAGCGGCAACUUCAUAUAAAAAGUUCAAAAGGGAGCACCUCAUUAUUUGGGUAUCCACCAGAUGACAAAUCAUCAGAAAAUGUGCAAGAGAAUAGAAUCAGUUACCAAUCCACUUUACACAUGUUUAUAGCUUAAUGAUAGUCCACAUCAAAACGCAAUUACAUGAAGCACACACAAGCGACAUCUGCAUAGCUAUGGGGAUUGUGGACACCUUGCCAGUUACCACCAUGAAAAUCUCAUCUGAACCAUGCUCAAAGCAUCGCAUUAUUUCGUGAAAUUAGUGAACAUGCAGUUGGUCAUUGGUUCAAACAUUUCUACUCAAUGCCUAGAAGUUUGAAGGGAUCGAACAAAACCUCAACAGCAAAGAACAUGAGCAAAUCCUCCUAAACACGCAGCAUCCUUAAGAUUCCUAAUCGUCCCCAAACGAAACCACAUAACACUAAAAGCGUAAAUGAAAUGCCAUUGUUCACCAAUCCGGAGAUCGGCCUACCUACCACGGGUAGAUUGGGGUAGAGCGGACGCCGGAGAAGCGCCUCCGCCGCGGGCCGCACCAACUACAACGCCGCCGCCGCCGCCGCCCCAUGAAUGCGGCCGGGACGCCGGAGAGGAGGACGGGCUCGGCGCGUGGGCUUGGUAGUCGGGCCGGGCCCAGGGAAAGGGGAGAUCUGGGCCACGAGUCUGUGGCCUGUAGGGCCACGGGCCCACGGUGCCAUCUGGCAAGCCCUUGUAUAACCAUUUUAAAAAAAG
rnacentral:lncRNA from 1 species